UCUAAGGCUUUCAUAUGUGUUGUCUUUAUGUAGUCAAUAAGUGUUGAACAGGAAAAAUGGGUUUAGGCGGCAAUAUGGUUUACUAGGUAUAAAAGUGGGGUUCUUGGAUCAAAGCCGAUCAACAUGGUUGAAACCAGAUGAUAUUCUGUAUUUAUUAUGUUUUUCUGCUUUGUUACCGUUCAUGUUUGAUUCAAAUUCAUGAUCACGUAAUUCAUUCUCAUAUUCAAUGAUAAGCUUGGGACAGGUGGAUGUGCCUGUUUAUGCAGCAGGAACUGGUGUUAAACCUGCAGAAAUAGCUAGGCAAGGUCUAGAAGAGGCCAAAAGGAAGAAUAUGGAUGUGGUCAUAGUGGACACAGCUGGAAGACUUCAGGUUUGGUAGAGGGAACUAGAAGCUCAUCUUAAAUUCAGAUCGUGACAUAUUUGAAGAGAGAACCGAGGUUGAUUUGAAGGACAAGUGGAGAAAUAUGAUACAUUACUGACUCUUAAAAAAAGAAGAUGGUCUGCAGUUUGUAUAAACUCUUUACUUAUCUAAAGAAGAUGGUCUGCAGUUUGUAUUAUAGGAGGGUUCUUGCAUGUUGAUUGAUUCUUCAUAGUUUUCUACUCUACUUGA